rnacentral:rRNA from 1 species
CGCCCUCCCUCGCCGCCAUCAGACUCCGUACGGGGGCAGCAGUGGGGAAUAUUGGACAAUGGGCGCAAGCCUGAUCCAGCAAUGCCGCGUGAGGUGAAGAAGGUUUUCGGAUUGUAAAGCUCUUUCGGCGGGGACGAUGAUUGACGGUACCCGGCAGAAGAAGCCCCGGCUAACUUCGGUGCCAGCCGCCGCGGUAAUUC